GCGCACUGCCAGGUAGCGCAGCGAGGGGCCCAGCACAAAGUUGUCCCUCGUCAGCUCACACGGGGAGUCGAAGUGGAGCAGAGUCCAGAGGUGGGGGUCCAGGAAGGCCUCCCGUAGCAGGUGACAGUUGUGCACACCCUCCACCUCCCCAUCACCACUUAGUCUUCAUGGAUUCAUCAUCCUCAUCCACCUCAUCAGCCAUCAGUCUCAGAGUCAUCAGCCACCAACUCCACCAGUGUCUGGACUCCAUGGGGCUGGGUGUUUAUCUUGCUGCAGCUCAGACGUCCCUCGAUCACAUAAUGUCUCCCAAAGGCGCCAAAGGCUUCUGUUAAAUCUUAAUCAGCACAAAUCAUCUGUUAAUCUGUACACUCAUAUUCUGUAUUGAAUAAUAUCGUUACUUCAUUCUUUUGUCUCUCCUGAUUGAAAUACAUUUGCUGUAUGACCACUUCCUCCCUGACCUUUUCUGGCAAAUUUCAUUUUUUGAUCCAUGUGUAUAUUUGGAUUAGUAAUGAUACUGAUGAAAUUCCAAUUACUUAGCUUGUAUUAGAUUAAAGAGCAGUCUCUUAGGUAAAAUGUACGGCAUUUCGUUUUUGCUCAUUUCAAACCACCAUGCUUCUACAGCUAGCUAAACACUGGCUGACAGGGGCGGAGAUGGUUGUUAACACCUUUUUAAAAAGUGUUAAAACCAACCCCAGUGACAACAAAACACAUUUUACCUGUCUAUUCUAAUCCUUUUUUUUAGCACGUGGGAAGAGUUGGUGAAAAAAACAGGCACACACACUACAGUCUUCAUCAGAUGAGGUGAGGCAGAGAAAGACAGCGAGGUCUGUCCCCAAAUAAUACUCUAUCUGCCAUGUGACACUGAGCAGAUCCUGCAAAAAAUGGUAAAACCACAGAGAAGGAACCAGAGUUCACAUGGAAUUGGGCGGUAGACGUCAGAUUAGAAAACAGCUUUUGGACGGCACAGGAAAAACGAAACUUGCAAGACAAUAUGUUGUGAUGGUAAUGUUGUCUUGUUUACAAAGAAUGAAAUAAAAAAAGUAUUUCAUGUCUA